GAUGAACGCUGGCGGCGUGCCUAAUACAUGCAAGUCGAGCGAACAGACGAGGAGCUUGCUCCUCUGACGUUAGCGGCGGACGGGUGAGUAACACGUGGAUAACCUACCUAUAAGACUGGGAUAACUUCGGGAAACCGGAGCUAAUACCGGAUAAUAUAUUGAACCGCAUGGUUCAAUAGUUAAAGACGGUUUUGCUGUCACUUUUAGAUGGAUCCGCGCCGCAUUAGCUAGUUGGUAAGGUAACGGCUUACCAAGGCAACGAUGCGUAGCCGACCUGAGAGGGGGAUCGGCCACACUGGAACUGAGACACGGUCCAGACUCCUACGGGAGGCAGCAGUAGGGAAUCUUCCGCAAUGGGCGAAAGCCUGACGGAGCAACGCCGCGUGAGUGAUGAAGGUCUUCGGAUCGUAAAACUCUGUUAUUAGGGAAGAACAAAUGUGUAAGUAACUAUGCACGUCUUGACGGUACCUAAUCAGAAAGCCACGGCUAACUACGU
rnacentral:rRNA from 1 species